UCGGGAAUUUUGGGCAAUGGGCGAAAGCCUGACCCAGCAACGCCGCGUGAAGGAUGAAGUAUUUCGGUAUGUAAACUUCGAAAGAAUAGGAAGAAUAAAUGACGGUACUAUUUAUAAGGUCCGGCUAACUACGUGCCAGCAGCCGCGGUAAUACGUAGGGACCAAGCGUUGUCCGGAUUUAUUGGGCGUAAAGAGCUCGUAGGCGGUUCAGUAAGUCGGGUGUGAAAACUUUGGGCUUAACCCAAAGCGUGCAUCCGAUACUGCUGUGACUUGAGUACGGUAGGGGAGCGGGGAAUUCCUAGUGUAGCGGUGAAAUGCGCAGAUAUUAGGAGGAACACCGGUGGCGAAGGCGCCGCUCUGGGCCGAAACUGACGCUGAGGAGCGAAAGCAUGGGUAGCAAACAGGAUUAGAUACCCACGUAGUCCCUGAGCGGGCUGGCAAGGCGCAU
rnacentral:rRNA from 1 species